rnacentral:rRNA from 1 species
GACGAACGCGGCGGCGUGCCUAAUACAUGCAAGUUGAGCGCUGAAGGUUGGUACUUGUACCAACUGGAUGAGCAGCGAACGGGUGAGUAACGCGUGGGGAAUCUGCCUUUGAGCGGGGGACAACAUUUGGAAACGAAUGCUAAUACCGCAUAAAAACUUUAAACACAAGUUUUAAGUUUGAAAGAUGCAAUUGCAUCACUCAAAGAUGAUCCCGCGUUGUAUUAGCUAGUUGGUGAGGUAAAGGCUCACCAAGGCGAUGAUACAUAGCCGACCUGAGAGGGUGAUCGGCCACAUUGGGACUGAGACACGGCCCAAACUCCUACGGGAGGCAGCAGUAGGGAAUCUUCGGCAAUGGACGAAAGUCUGACCGAGCAACGCCGCGUGAGUGAAGAAGGUUUUCGGAUCGUAAAACUCUGUUGGUAGAGAAGAACGUUGGUGAGAGUGGAAAGCUCAUCAAGUGACGUAACUACC